rnacentral:lncRNA from 1 species
CACAGAGCUGAAUUUGGAGGAAAGGUUUUGCUCAAGGUUAAGCCAGGCUGUCUGAGAGCAAUAGUGCCGUUGCAGUGUCCACUGGCAACAUUAUCUGAGCAGUGGGAUUUCCUACAGCUUAGGUUUCAAAUGGUUUACUUUGAUUUCUUAAAGCUAUAAAUAAGUUUGCUCAUCUUUAAAUGGCAAUGUUAGUGGCUACACCAUAGAAAACCAGAGGAUUCUAUUAUCUUUGCUCAAAGAGCAGACAGUACUCCGGCUGCUUCCCCCUGUUUCUCUUUGAUCCCUGCAGCCCAGCUCAGCCCUUCCCCCAAGCCCUCUCAUCCACACCAGUUCUGGCCCUGGGACUUGAGGGAUUGCAGGGCCUGGAGCCUGUUGUGUGCUCUGUUCUCACCUCCAACCUGCUCCACCCCCACCCCCGCUGAUCUUCCUGCCCAAUCUGCCAGCCUGCAUCAAAAGCAAGAGACACGAAUGGAAGGAAAGACACAGGGAAAUAAAGCCAAGAGGACUCAGGGUCUCCGUUGACUUACCCGCGGGCCGGGACAAGUGGCGCCCAACGUGGGGCCUGAGAAUGGGGGAUCCAGUGAAGAAUGCUGCUCGGGAGCCCAAUAAAAUAGAAGAGACAAAUAAAAUAGAAAAAAGAGGAUUGCGUUUGACAUGAACCUGCCGUCUUUCCUGCACCUCGGUUAAAAAGAUGACAUCCCUGAUUCUGUCACAUGGCCUGUUGCUGCUCCUGGCACUGACAGCAGAAAGCGGAUUUCAACCAGUUAACAAGGAACAACUGCUCAUUGCCCUGUAUGGUAACCCCUGUGACUGUGCCGGGGGUUCUGGCGGGCCCGUACCCACAAGUUACACCCGUAGUACUGAUUGCGGCAGCAAGACUGCCUACUUGGUUUAUGAGGCCUCGAUAACGGGAGGAUAUAACCAAAAAUGGGAUUGUGUCACUAAGCCUAAAGUCAUACUAACAAUCAAUGGCAAACCAGGGCCAUGCCCUACCGGCUGUGCCAUGGCCACAGAGAUGCACUCUACCUGUUACACUGAAGUCCAACAAUGUGCACAUUCUGAUGGAAAAAUAUAUCUAACUGCUGUUCUACAAAGAACUUACAGGGGCUCCGUCGGGGGUGACUGGGACUUUUCCAGUCCCACUGGAUAUCCUAAAUUUGGCCAAGCCUCCUGCAGUGGCAGUCCCGGCAAAGAUGUCUGCUGGCCGCCACAGGCCCCAAUUCAUAUAUCUGAUGGUGGCGGGCCUUCAGAUCAGCUCAGGGAAGAGCGAGUACAAAAACAGCUCGAGACUAUCAUCCAAGAGAUGUACCCCUCCCUAAAUUAUCAUCCACUGGCCCUUCCCAAACCUCGAGGCCCAGACCCUGACGUCCAAACCCUGAGUGUCUUAGAGGCCACUUAUCAAUUGAUCAAUACAUCCAACCCAGCCUUUGCUGCGGAUUGUUGGCUAUGCUUGACCCUUGGCACACCCCUGCCCCUCGUCUUGCCAGUUGUCGACCAAACUGACUAUGCCAACAGUUCUAGUUACAAUUGCAGUUUUUCUCUGCCCUUCAGGGUCCAGCCAGUACAGUUCAAUGCCUCAGUUUGUUAUCUAAGUUCAGGCCACAACGAUAGCUUCGAUAUACCUGUCGGAGUCCAAAAUUUCUCUCUCUGCUCUGUAACGCUUAAUGGCUCUGCCGCCAUUUGCCCUGCCCCGGGUCACGUGCUCGUCUGUGGAGGGAGCUUGGCAUUCACUUCCCUCCCCACUAAUUGGACUGGGCUGUGCGUGGUGGCGACUGUCCUCCCGGACAUCGCCCUCAUUCCUGGAGAUGAGCCAGUGCCCUUGCCCAGCUUUGACUAUAUCGCUGGGUGACAUAAAAGGGCCGUCUCACUGGUCCCCUUGCUCGUGGGGCUAGGGGUGUCCAGCGCCCUUGCCACUGGCUCCGCUGGCGUCGGAGUGGCGUUACACUCCUAUGCCAAAUUAUCCAACCAGUUGAUUAAUGAUGUUCAAGCUCUCUCCAACACUCUUACAGAUUUACAAGAUCAGAUUGAUUCUUUGGCUGAGGUGGUCCUUCAAAAUAGAAGGGGCCUGGACCUCCUCACGGCGGAACAAGGGGGGAUUUGCAUAGCCCUAAAAAACAUCGCUGUUUCUAUGCCAAUAAAUCUGGGCUCAUCAGGGGAAAAAUUCAUGAACUUCAGGAAGAUCUGAACAGACGACGACAAGAAUUCGCUCAAAAUCCCCUCUGGACUGGCCUCAAUGGUUUCCUCCCUUAUCUUCUCCCUUUGCUGGGACCCUUAUUGGGCCUACUUCUGCUCAUUUCUUUGGGGCCCGUAAUAUACAACAAAAUCAUGGCCUUUCUUAGAGCCUAGAUAGAGGCAAUAAAAACAGCGCCCAUACAGGUCCACUAUCAUAGAUUGGCAAUGGCUGACCAGGACGAAUGCUGGACCGUCGAUUAGGGCCUUGCCAUGGCAAAGUGUUCUCGCCCCACCUGGUGAGUGGGCUGGCAAGCCAAUGACGGGCAACUGAGCAAGCGUGCCAUGCAAUGAGAGAGCCCUCGUGCACCGCCUAAGACAGGUGUCAGAGCCUUGAUUGUCUGGUUAACCGAUGACGGGUAAGGUGCACGGUGCAGACACAUAUGUCCCUCUGACCCAAGACAGGCUCAGCCCCCACAGGCUUGGCUCUCCUGACGCCUUUCUACUAUAGUUAUAAUUUUAAAGGAAGGACCUGUGGGGGGCCUUGCCCCCCCCCCGCUAGAACUCUUGAGUGCCUUUUACGGGCAUGUCUGGGCCUGCUGCAAGUCUACCCGGCAACAAGGAAGUAGCCCCAGUACCCUCCCCUUGGUCCUCCCCUCUAGCCCUACGGUAUAUAUGCUGUAGCAGCUUCCGCAAUAAACGAG